AUGAAUAGCUUUUCACCAUUGCCUGCCUUGCUCUGUCAGUUUAUUUUUUUUUUUUUUUUUUUUUUUUUUUUUUUUUUUUUUAAAAUUUUUUUAUUUAUUUAUGAUAGUCCCCGAGAGAGAGAGAGAGAGAGAGAGAGGCAGAGACCCCGGCAGAGGGAGAAGCAGGCUCCAUGCCCCGGGAGCCUGAUGUGGGACUCGAUCCCGGGUCUCCAGGAUCACGCCCUGGGCCAAAGGCAGGCGCCAAACCGCUGCGCCACCCAGGGGUCCCUGCUCUGUCAGUUUAAAGAAAAGAUGAUAAUGGGCCUUCUUCCCGUUUUACAGCACGGCCGUCAUCAAAACGUGGAAGCUGUUUCUGAAGGCAGUUCUAGAGUGCAGCAAGGACAAAGGCAAAGUCAAGGCUUUCACGGACAUCUCCGAGCCCCAGUGACACUCUUGGCACCAAGUCCUGAACACGUCCCAACUCCCCAUUUGUUGCCAGAUGCUCCACAGGCCAAACUCCCGCAGGGUAUUUCACCUUGGAAGCAGCCAACAUCUACUUAAACAAGAAAAAAAAUCAUCACAAAGAUAUAGGAUGGCUCGAAAGAAAUGAGCCACCAAGCCCUGAGAAGACAAGGAGGGACCUUAACUGCUACCACUGAGUGAAAGGAACCAAUCUGAAGAGGACACGGAGCACAGGAUUCCAACCGUGUGACCUCUGGAGAAGGCAAAACCGGAGACAGUGAGAAGACCGGUGGUUGGCGGGAGAGAUGAAUGAGUGGAGCAAGAUCUGGGGGGACGUGAGGCUCUUCUGCACGAUAUCCUAAUGGUCGCACCUGUCAGUGUACACUUGCCUGAGUCUAUUGGGUGUUCGUUGCCAAGGGUGAGCUCUGGGCGGUGAGGAUGCGUCCGAGUCAGUUCUGCGUUUCUAACAAAAGGCUUCCAGCUCGCCAGCGGAGUCCCCUGGUGACCACCUGGUGGGGGAUGCUCCUAACGGGGGAGGCCGGACCUGUGUGGGGGGGAACUACGGGAAAUCUCUGUAUCUAGGCCGCGGCCUCGCUCCUCUGAUUCAAGACAGCUUUGAACUUCCCUUCCUUUUCCUCUUCUUUCCUUCCUCUUCCCCUCUCUCCCCCAGCCCGGGCACCCAUCCUAGCAAACCCCUCAAUGCCAGUCUCCAGCUUAGAUUCUGAAGAAAGCACCGAUAUUUCCCGGUCACAGCUGUUGCCGAUAUCCUGAAAUAGUGCACCUGCUUGCCCCUAUCUCGAUGUUACAGUCGUUAUUAGCCUGCCGGGUCUUGUUACCCAGCACAUGACUAUAAAUACAUAUUACUAUGUUAAAACCCGUUUUUAAUAUUCUCCUACCUGUAUUUCAGUAUCACUGGGGCUUUUUGGCAUCUCAUAGAUUUUAUUUCAUGGGUGCAGAGGAUGGC
rnacentral:lncRNA from 12 species